UACGAAGGGGGCUAGCGUUGCUCGGAAUCACUGGGCGUAAAGCGCACGUAGGUGGAUCUUUAAGUCAGGGGUGAAAUCCUGGAGCUCAACUCCAGAACUGCCUUUGAUACUGGGGAUCUCGAGUCCGGAAGAGGUGAGUGGAACUCCGAGUGUAGAGGUGAAAUUCGUAGAUAUUCGGAAGAACACCAGUGGCGAAGGCGGCUCACUGGUCCGGUACUGACGCUGAGGUGCGAAAGCGUGGGGAGCAAACAGG
rnacentral:rRNA from 1 species